UGGGGAAUAUUGGACAAUGGGGGCAACCCUGAUCCAGCCAUGCCGCGUGAGUGAUGAAGGCCCUAGGGUUGUAAAGCUCUUUCACCGGUGAAGAUAAUGACGGUAACCGGAGAAGAAGCCCCGGCUAACUUCGUGCCAGCAGCCGCGGUAAUACGAAGGGGGCUAGCGUUGUUCGGAUUUACUGGGCGUAAAGCGCACGUAGGCGGAUAUUUAAGUCAGAGGUGAAAUCCCAGGGCUCAACCCUGGAACUGCCUUUGAUACUGGAUAUCUUGAGUGUGGAAGAGGUGAGUGGAAUUCCGAGUGUAGAGGUAAAAUUCGUAGAUAUUCGGAGGAACACCAGUGGCGAAGGCGGCUCACUGGUCCAUUACUGACGCUGAGGUGCGAAAGCGUGGGGAGCAAACAGG
rnacentral:rRNA from 1 species